AGAUUCUGGACUCUGAGAUUCGAGUCGACUCCCGCAUUACGCGAGUCGACUCCGAGACUCCGCGACCACAAAGAAGACAGAAGACCAAGUUACUGCCUCUGAGAUUCGAGUCGACUCCCAGACAGCUAGAGUCGACUCCAAGGCAGCUUCACAUCAAAAGGGCAGAAGACCAAGUUUCGGAAACUGAGAGCCGAGUCGACUCCCAGGACAGUUGAGUCGACUCGAGUGGAC
rnacentral:lncRNA from 1 species